UUAUGGUGGAUGUUGCUCAUGUGUCAUUUAAGGACAAGGCCAGUCCAUCCUAUAGGUUACAUGGAUCGCCUCUUAGGGCACCAUAUUCUGCAUAAUUUGAGUAUUUUAUUUUUAAUUUAAUUUAACAUUUUAGUGUAGUUUUAGUCAACAAAAAUUACUGGAUAUUUUGGUAAUCAAAUCUACUUCAGAUUUAGUUGACUAAAUUUACAAUACAUGCAGUCAAUAAAAAUAGGUUUAACCAUAAUGUAAUAUAUAUGCAGACACACACACAUGUACAUGUAUAGAGCAGGAAGAAGGACGUGGACACGGCAGUCAACCAAAACAGAAUGUAGUUUAUUGUUUAUUAUUGUGUUGGGCUGAGCGCCAGAGGGCGUAACACUUAGGUGAGAGGGAGUCCCUUUAAUGAAAUUCACCAAGUGAGUCGGAGGGUCGCCUGAGCUUAACACAGAUAUAAACGGUUUACAGAUAGACUUAAGAGCCUGAACUGCAUGGUUAACAUAGUUGCAGUCAUUUAGACUAACAGCAACUAAGUCUGAAGUCUACAAUUAAAUGCUUAUCGGUAAAGCAAAAACCCUGAUACAGGCAGUCCCCAGGUUAUGAAUGAGAUCCAUUCCCUAAGUCUGUCUUUAAAUCAAAUUUGAAGGCAAGUCAGAAAAAGAAUAAUACAGUAAUUAGUAAUAAUUAUUAUACAUUAAUAAUGAAAUGAACUAUAUUUAGUACUGUACUAGUACAAACCGCUGAAGCCACACAAUGUUUUCAUGAGCAUCACAAAGUACUAUGAGCAUUCAUUAUUAAAAACCAUUGUAUUUCACUCCUAUUUUUAUAUAAUAUACGUACUUAAGGCAGCUAACAACACUUCUUUCAGAUUUAUAUUAUAAUGACUUUGGAGCCAUACAGUAACACCAUAUUACAAAUGGUGAAGCAAUUGUCAUCCACUGAAAUUUCUACAAGAAUGUUACACCAGUUCGGGGAAACAAGGGCUUUUUCUGCAAGGAGUAUAAGAAGAUUUUGUGCUGAACGUGGUUCAGGCUUGGGUCGGUGCUCAGACGCAUACUGUACUUAGAGCUAGAGGAGACAAAUGCUGUCAAACGUGGGCAUAAAUUAGAGAGCCAAUAAAUCAAAACCAACUAAUACAACCCCCCCAAUAAUCAUGUUCCCCCCAUAAUGGGUGGAGACAUAAACCCCUCCAAUAUUCCAGCCAAAGUUAUACCCUUGCUGUCAACGAGGUAAGAUACUUGCUUUAUUUCCAUGUUACUCCCUUAAAGUGCGUGUGAGUUUGAAAAUGAAAAACACAGACUUAAUACCUUAUUUUCAAGUUGUUUAUUUCAUGUAUGUUUAUAUGUAUGCAUAUUGUAGCAUUGGCUUUGAGUCCAUUUAUUCACCCUUUAGUCGCUACAUGAUCUGUACAUCCUAUGGGAUCCGUUGCUUCCAGAUCCGGCUCAUGCACAGUAUACAUGUGCACCUGCGUGAUUCUUUGCCAGAUUUGGACAGUGUAUGUGUUCAGAAUUCAAGCAUGCGUACACCGACUAUUUUACGACUGCGGCUCGAUCCACUGUGCUGCAUACGUUUACAACUCGUAGUCAAUUCUAAGCACGCAUGGGUGUACAUGGACAAUUUUUUGAGGGCAAACAAAUACAGCGAUCAGAAUCUGUUGUUAUAGACAAAUAUACCAACUCCACACAUGAAUCCAAGGCCCAGAGGUGUGAGGCAGCGGUACUAACCACUGCAAGAUAAAUAUAUUGAAUACCUUUGUAAUUAUCUCAUCAUAGUUGCCAAGUUUCAUAUUCGUAAGUGUAGGUUUCUGGAAAUUACUCCAAAUAGUAUUAUUUUUGAAAAUGAGUUAAAAAUAUUCUUGAAAGAAAACGAAUAGUGAUAGUGUCACAGCUCUCACAGGGAAGCAGGCGAAGGAAGCCAUGGAUACAGACAAAGGACUUUAUUAUGGGCUAACACACUCAAUAACAACAUGUAACGUUAAUGACCAGACUCAGGAAACAAAUUGAAAAGCAGACUAAAUACAUUGAACUAAUGACAACAACAGGAAGCAGCUAGUGAACACGGGGAAUCCACAUGGGGUUGAUGAGGGGGCGUGGCACACGGGAGGAUCGGACGAGCGGGGCAUGACAGAUAGUCCCAAGAGAUUGUGUGCGAAAUCAGUCGUUUUUUUCCCAAAGGAAUAACCUCCUUGUCUUUGGAUGUUUAUACACGUAUAUAUUUUUUUAUUUAUGAUUGCUGCUUGGUUGCUAUAAAACUGUAUUAUGUGUAUAAUGAUAAAAUUGCUAUCUUUAAGUAGUAUCAAUAAAAAAAUUACAUUCAUUCAGUUACUUUUAUUGAAUAGAACAGCAAAUACAUCUUCCCCUUUCUCGUAAUCAAAAACUCAUACGAGAAUGUAUUUCAAGGAGAAAUAUAACUCAUUAUAGAACAUCUGCAAAGGACAAGAACAUCUGACCAGACACCAGAGUCCAAAUCAAAUGCACAAUUGUUUCAGAAAGCUCGUGUCAAUGUCCUUUUAAAUCUAGUAGAAAAGAACAUUUUGACCAGGUAGUAUUUAUGCAACAAUUUAAUGAUACUUCACUCAGCUUAAUAGUCAAAAGUAGAAAAUUGCUAACAACAAUACCAGCCCAAUAUGAAACCAUGUGAGGUACAGGUACAUUAUCUUGUAGAAAAAGAUUUUUUUAUUGUUGUGACUUGCUGAGAAAUACAUUUCCCACAUUUGUUCCACAGGGAUCAAACCUGAAACAACAGUAACUAGACUAUACUUUUAGCGUAGACGCGUUCUCACGCAUGCGUUAUCAUAGAUAGGGAGACUGCUGUAAAUAGGGAGUCCGGUCCAAAACACUAGCAACGUACGCAGGCGCACAUGUACACUGUGCAUGAACCGGAUCCAGAAGCAAUGGAUCCCGUAGGGUGUACGGAUCGCGUAGUGACACGCACCCAUUAUAAUAUAAAUCCGAAAGAAGUGUUGUUGGCUAAGACCAGCCCUGCUUUGUUCCGCUUCACCUGUGUGUCCGGGAUGUUGAAAGUAGUGCCACUUGUGCUCGCACACGCGCACACGAUUUGUACGUGACAUCCGGUGCCAGAAAACGAUAAAACCGCCCAAUUCUCGUUCCGGUUAGCUUCAGUUUUUAUUGUGCAUAUUUUAAAGGAAAAUUUAAAAAAUGGUUUGUUUUCUAAUAUUUUGACUUUGGAUUUUAUAUUAAAAAACAAAUCACCUGUUGUUUAUGGUUUUUUAAUUAUUGAUUCCAAAACGAAAAUCGAAUGGCCAAAAUAUACACGGUCCAAGAUACCAGUUUCCACUGAGGAAAAAGUUAGGACACCCUCACAUGCCAUUAUUUAAAAUGAUUAGAAUUAGUCAGGUGACCCAUAUCAGGUGAAAAUGAUUAAACAUGGUUGCAGAGCUUUUUGCUGGAGCCUGUCUUAUUUAAAUCACAGACAUUUAGCUUGAUUUGCUCUUGAUUGUUGAAAUGAGUAGUAUUGCCAUGAUGAGGUCCAAAGAACUCCCUAAAAUAAAUAAUAAAAAAUAAAAAAGAAUAUUGCCUGGGAGCAAGUGACAGAGGCAGUAAAUGCGGUCGGGUCAGAGGGGAGGUCCCUGUCAUAAAUAAAUUAAAAAAUGGUUCAAUAUCAAACUAAAUACCAGAAAACGUGUCUCGGCACACAGACGGGACAGAUCUGCUACCGUGGAUGGACAGAUCACUACAGAGCUGACGACAUUUGACACGCGUGUUGCCAGCAUUAUUGGAGAUACUGCUUUGUCUGGCAUCAGUACGCAGAGACAGUGACAACCUUCACCAGCAGAUCAAGCAGGACCAUCCAAUUUCCACAAUGAAGAAACUCUGCCAAGUCCCUGGGUCACACAGGAGGAGCAGCCACGGGUCGAGCAGCUGGUGCAGGGGCUGUCAGUGCGUCGGGAGCCGAAGGUGUUGACUGACGCGGACCUAAGAGAUCAAGGGGAGACAAUCAAGUCAACUAACUGAAGCAGUUAAUAAUGAUGAACAAUGUUUUUGUUGAGAUUAACAAAUAUCUUAAAUUGCCGCAUGUGUGUCAUACAUGGAAAAUAAAUAGUGUUACCAGUUUAAGUUGCAAAAUAAGAGUUUUUUUUCCAUCAAUCAAUGUGCUGUUUGUUUGAUUACCUACAUUAAAAUCUCUGAAUGACCCUCACUCUUGUCUGAAUGGCAGCAGCAUUUGGUGGUGGAGGAUGCUCUGCGUCAGGCACGGGGGGGUCUGGUAUUGGGGGUUACUGCAGAGGAAUGCCUUGUCUGAUGGCCAAGUUGUAGAGUACACAACAAGCCAUGAUUAUGCGGCACACCUCUUCAGGUCGAUAUUGCAGGGUACCUCCGAUACUUGAGAAACACAGCCACCGACCUUUCAGGAGACCUAUUGCGCGUUCCAUUGUGGAUCUUGUCUACGCAUGGGCUCUGUUAUAAUUUUGCUCCUGAGCGGUCACUGGAUUUGGUAUCUGAGUCAUGAGCCAGGGCUUCAAUGCAUAACCUUGAUCACCUAAAAUGUAAGGUUAUAAUAACUGUUGUAUAUAAUUACUCAAGCAAUAACAUUUUCAAAAACUGUCACACUCACCAAUAAGCCAUCCAUCCUCAACAUCACCUCUCUUGAGACACACUCCGAUGGAGCUGUUUUGCACAUUAAAUGAAUCGUGCGUACCUCCAGGCCACCGGGCAACAAAAUUUUAAAUGCUUAAAUGAGCAUCAGCAAUUAUUUGUACAUUAAUGGAAUGAAUCCCUUUUCUAUUGACAUAAUUAAAUUUGUAUUGUGAUAGUG